CCGAGAUGGUCAUGAAUGGCUGCAGGCGAGAUCAGCGGGAUGCUAGGGGCUUCACGGGUGGCUCGCAGGAGGAUAAGCCGCACAAGGACGCUGUGAAGGAGGCGGUGAUCACACAGGUGGCUGGGGAGUCUGAUGCGGGUCCGGAAGAAAGGGGCGUUGAUCGCUGGUGCUGUGGAGGAGGCUGGAGACGAUCACGGGCACAGGAGCGUUGAUCGGGUGCGACGCUGCGGACGAGACGGAUGGCUGGGAGGAGCGUGAGAUGGGCGCAGGUCACGGAUCCGGAAUGCUGAAAUCUCGGACACGAGGCUGAUCGCGGAAGGCUUGGAACAUGGGAGAAGCUGAUGAAUGCCGUGGCUCACUCGCGGAAACGGGAGAAUGUAAGCAGGAACCUUGGCUCAGAUGUGCGAGAACCCGGGAGAGGUGGACGCUCUGGGAUGAUGGAGGAAGCUAGGAGAUCUAAUUGCAGAAUUUGGGAAGUUGCUCGGGUGCGCGGAAGAAGAGUCAUGGACUCUGUUAUGCAGUUAGGAAGAUGCAUCCUUUUUAGGUGAAUUCAUACAAAAUAAUGAUAUAAAUUAUAAUAAGUGCUAAGGAUAAAAUAUUAAUCAUU
rnacentral:lncRNA from 1 species